rnacentral:rRNA from 1 species
GACGAACGCUGGCGGCGUGCCUAAUACAUGCAAGUCGAACGAACUCUGGUAUUGAUUGGUGCUUGCAUCAUGAUUUACAUUUGAGUGAGUGGCGAACUGGUGAGUAACACGUGGGAAACCUGCCCAGAAGCGGGGGAUAACACCUGGAAACAGAUGCUAAUACCGCAUAACAACUUGGACCGCAUGGUCCGAGUUUGAAAAAUGGCUUCGGCUAUCACUUUUGGAUGGUCCCGCGGCGUAUUAGCUAGAUGGUGGGGUAACGGCUCACCAUGGCAAUGAUACGUAGCCGACCUGAGAGGGUAAUCGGCCACAUUGGGACUGAGACACGGCCCAAACUCCUACGGGAGGCAGCAGUAGGGAAUCUUCCACAAUGGACGAAAGUCUGAUGGAGCAACGCCGCGUGAGUGAAGAAGGGUUUCGGCUCGUAAAACUCUGUUGUUAAAGAAGAACAUAUCUGAGAGUAACUGUUCAGGUAUUGACGGUAUUUAACCAGAAAGCCACGGCUAACUACGUGCCAGCAGCCGCGGUAAUACGUAGGUGGCAAGCGUUGUCCGGAUUUAUUGGGCGUAAAGCGAGCGCAGGCGGUUUUUUAAGUCUGAUGUGAAAGCCUUCGGCUCAACCGAAGAAGUGCAUCGGAAACUGGGAAACUUGAGUGCAGAAGAGGACAGUGGAACUCCAUGUGUAGCGGUGAAAUGCGUAGAUAUAUGGAAGAACACCAGUGGCGAAGGCGGCUGUCUGGUCUGUAACUGACGCUGAGGCUCGAAAGUAUGGGUAGCAAACAGGAUUAGAUACCCUGGUAGUCCAUACCGUAAACGAUGAAUGCUAAGUGUUGGAGGGUUUCCGCCCUUCAGUGCUGCAGCUAACGCAUUAAGCAUUCCGCCUGGGGAGUACGGCCGCAAGGCUGAAACUCAAAGGAAUUGACGGGGGCCCGCACAAGCGGUGGAGCAUGUGGUUUAAUUCGAAGCUACGCGAAGAACCUUACCAGGUCUUGACAUACUAUGCAAAUCUAAGAGAUUAGACGUUCCCUUCGGGGACAUGGAUACAGGUGGUGCAUGGUUGUCGUCAGCUCGUGUCGUGAGAUGUUGGGUUAAGCCCCGCAACGAGCGCAACCCUUAUUAUCAGUUGCCAGCAUUAAGUUGGGCACUCUGGUGAGACUGCCGGUGACAAACCGGAGGAAGGUGGGGAUGACGUCAAAUCAUCAUGCCCCUUAUGACCUGGGCUACACACGUGCUACAAUGGAUGGUACAACGAGUUGCGAACUCGCGAGAGUAAGCUAAUCUCUUAAAGCCAUUCUCAGUUCGGAUUGUAGGCUGCAACUCGCCUACAUGAAGUCGGAAUCGCUAGUAAUCGCGGAUCAGCAUGCCGCGGUGAAUACGUUCCCGGGCCUUGUACACACCGCCCGUCACACCAUGAGAGUUUGUAACACCCAAAGUCGGUGGGGUAACCUUUUAGGAACCAGCCGCCUAAGGUGGGACAGAUGAUUAGGGUG